rnacentral:piRNA from 1 species
UUCCGAUCCUCUUCAUAGAGAU